rnacentral:rRNA from 1 species
CGAACGAGAAGCCACCUUCGGGUGGUGGACAGUGGCAGACGGGUGAGUAACGCGUGGGAACGUGCCUUUCGGUUCGGGAUAACCCAGGGAAACUUGGGCUAAUACCGGAUACGCCCUUCGGGGGAAAGAUUCAUUGCCGAAAGAUCGGCCCGCGUCGGAUUAGCUAGUUGGUGAGGUAAAAGCUUACCAAGGCGACGAUCCGUAGCUGGUCUGAGAGGAUGACCAGCCACACUGGGACUGAGACACGGCCCAG